UACGAAGGGGGCUAGCGUUGCUCGGAAUCACUGGGCGUAAAGCGCACGUAGGCGGACUCUUAAGUCGGUGGUGAAAUCCUGGAGCUCAACUCCAGAACUGCCUUCGAUACUGGGAGUCUCGAGUUCGGGAGAGGUGAGUGGAACUGCGAGUGUAGAGGUGAAAUUCGUAGAUAUUCGCAAGAACACCAGUGGCGAAGGCGGCUCACUGGCCCGAUACUGACGCUGAGACGCGAAAGCGUGGGGAGCGAACAGG
rnacentral:rRNA from 1 species